AAUUUUAAUUAUAAUUUAAUUUUUUUAGAAUUUAUUUUAUUAAAAAUAAAGAGAUAGAAAUAUUUUGUUGUUUGAGUAAAAAAUGAGAAUAAAUUUAUAGUAAAUAAAUAAAAACUGUAAAGGUGAUAGUGAAAAUUGAAAAAGAAAAUUUAAUUUAUUGUACCCUUUUGUAUCAGGGGUUAUUAAAAUAGAGGUAAGAAUUUAUUGGUCUCGAAUUAAAAAGAGUUAAUUUUAUAGGAUAGUUAAUGUGUCAUAAUUAUUAUAAAUAUAAAAUUUGAGGUGAAAUGCUAGUCGAUUUUUAAGAUAUCUAGUUUUUUAAUAAAUGAAUAUAAUUUUUUUAUAAAUAAAGUUAGUUAUUAAUUUGAAAUAACUUAAUUGAAUUUAUAGGGAAAAAUUUAUGGGAUAAUCUGUGAAUUUAAAUUAAAUAUUUUUAUAAGAUUAAUAAAUGAAUAAAUUUAAAAAUUAAAAUUUUUAAAAUUAGUAAGUUUAUAAUUAUUUAUAAGUGUUAAGAUUGUUAUUUAUAAAGUGUAUUAAUUAAAUAAUUAAAAUGAAAUUAAAAAUUAAAAAAAAAUUAUAAUAAUGAUAAUAUUAGUAUAAAAAAAAUGUAAAAUUAAUUAAUAUAAAUAAAUUAUUUAAGGAUUAGGCAAAAAAAGUCACUUGUUUAACAAAAACUGUUUUUUUGAUUAUAAUAAAAAAUUUACUCUGCCCAAUGAUUGAGUUAAAUGGCCGCAGUAUUUUGACUGUGCAAAGGUAGCAUAAUAAAUAGUUUUUUAACUGAAGACUAGAAUGAAUGAGGGGAUGAAAUUUUAACUGUCUCUAAUUAAUUAUUAAAAAUUUAUUUUAAGUAAAAAAUCUUAAAUAAACUUAAGGGACGAGAAGACCCUAUAGAAUUUGAAAAAUUUUUUUAUAAGAAUAAUUAAUAAUUAAUUUAAUUAGAUUAUAAAUAGUUUUUUUUUGUUGGGAGGAUAGUAAAAUUUAAGGAACUUUUAAUAAAUAAAAUCAUAAAUUUAUGGAUUAAUUGAAUAAAAUUAAAGUAAAAAAGAAAAAAUUACCUUAGGGAUAACUGCGCUAAUAAAUUUUUAAAGUUCAAAUUAAAAAAUUUGUUUGCGACCUCGAUGUUGAAUUAAAAUAAAAUUUAGGUGUAGAAGCUUAAUAUUUAAGAUCUGUUCGACUUUUAAAAUUUUACAUGAUUUGAGUUCAAAUCGGCGUGAGCNUAGAUUGGUUUCUAUCUUUAAACAAAAGUUAGAUUAUUGUACGAAAGGACUUAAUUUAAAGUAAAUUACUUAAUAAUAAUGAAUAAAAUUAAUUAUA
rnacentral:rRNA from 1 species